rnacentral:tRNA from 1 species
GUCUGAAUCGCUCAUUGUCAAUAGUCAAAGCAAUUGCUCGGAAAGCAAAAGAUUCGGGUUUAAAUCCUGAUUCAGCCA